GCCUACAGCCAUGCUCCCCGGAACAAGCCCCAUGCCAUCUGAUCUUGGAAGCUAAGCAGGGUGGGGCCUGGUUAGUUCUUGGGAUGGGAGACCACCUAGGAAGACCAGGAGCUGUGGGCC
rnacentral:rRNA from 1 species